CAGGGCCAGCUUAGCAGGACUUCAGUUUCCUUGCUAGAGCUGGAUGGUGCUCCAGGCUGGUUGCUGGGACUCCGGAAGGACAAGGCCCUGAGGUACCAGUGACACUCCCUCCAUGUUCCUGGUUUCCCUUUGGAACGCUGGCAGAAUAGCAGGACGGCUUUGGAUCUGGCAAGUCCCAUCACCAUGAUUUGUGCUAGAGGGAAAAAAGUGAGCGACACAAAUAGGACAAUUUAGAAACCAGCAAACAGCUUCAGAGCAGCAACGUGGACCAGGAUGACGGAUCCUCCAAACAGUGAAGGGCUCAGCUCACUGCGGAAGGCCAGGCCUCUUCUGGUAGCUGUUAAUAGGAAAAAGCAGAUCAAAGAAUUGACAGGAAAUUAUUUCAUACAGACAGAGAUCCUUAAAGCUGGACACAGCUGCUUCCUCCUCCUCAGCCUGCUUGUUCCUUUGGUAUCAGUCAUUAGUGAGCACGUUUCACCCAAGCCAGUCCCAGAGCCUCUGAUUUGGAGCUUGUUGUCUGCCACAAGUGUACUCCAGACCAGUUAUGAAUAAUGAAGACAUGAGUCUAUGAAACACUGGCUGCAGACACCAGUAACCCCAAUUGUUUCUUUUUUUAAUUGGCUUUAGGGAAAAUGUAGAGCUGGGCAGAGAAGGGUCAUUCCAUUUCAUGGAGGAUUUUGGUAUUUCAAAAUUUUUCUUUUGUUCUGACAUGGAAUAAAAAACCCCAAAUUUUGAAAUUCUCCACACAAGGGAAGGGAGCAUCAGCUCUGGGACAGUCCACCAAGCAGGCUGUUCCAGAGUCGGGGGCACUGGAAGUCUUGGGGUCAAUGACUUUUAGGCAGCCCACCAGCCAAGCCGCCAAGGAGCGAGGCGGGUGAGCUGGCCAGAACCCAGGGAGCGUUCUGACAGAAUAGCGUCAAAAUCAAAGUCUCUGCAAAAGGUUUAGAGUUUGACAAAUUGUCAAAUUCCAACGAGAAAAUAUUUUGUUGAGAUUUUUCCGAGCUCUGGUAAAAUAGUCCUGUUUCGUCCUUUGGGAGGAUGUUGCCCCACUGGGGACAGAAUGGGUCUAGUUAUGAGAGGAGAGAGAUGGAGACACAAUUGUGGUGUUGGGUGAGGGGAUGUGUGUUCAGCCUUUAGUUCAGAACAAUGAAGUUGAAUCAUUAGUGUUCUAAGGGGUUAUUCUCCUUACAUUUAUUUUCUGAAAUCAACUGUGCCUGGAAUUGAGUCAGAUGUGAAGGUGCUCAGAUACGAGUCAUGAGCUCCCUACAAGAACCUGGAUAAAUAGACAGAACACACAGUUAACCCCACUUAUUUCUCAACUGGUUUCAUGUGACAUGUUUGCCUGGUGGGGUUGCUCUGUGCUCUGCACUUCAAUACAGAGGACUUUGCAGCACAUUGAACAGAGGUUUUCAUUGAGAUUUGCACUGAAGUCUCCACAAUGAUGUCCCAGUCUGUCUGAAUUGAUACAGCUCAUUAACAACGUAGUGAAAUUAUCCCUCACAAUGUGCAUUACCUUGAAUGUGUGUCUGAAUUUCACCUGAUGUUGUGUUGCCCAUUCACCCAACUUGGUUGAUCUCUCUGAAGUUCCUCACCAUCGUCCCUAGUCCUGACUGACCCAAAUAAUGUGCCAUCAGCACACUAGGCUACGUGCCUGCUCCCUUUUCCACAGCCUGUGGAUUUGCAGUGCCGUAUCUGGGGAGCCACAGCUGCUCUGCCUGGGCUCCUGUGGACUCUGUACAGGGUGUGUGUGUGUUGAAGACUCGCAGUGGUUUGGGGCCUUCACCUGUCUUCCUAGCACUCCCAUCACCAUGAUGUCUAGGCACCUUCUCUUUCCUCAGUGAGUACUUGAGACCCAGUGUCUACCCACCCCAGCCUGAGCCCUCUCUAGCAGCAAGAGUCAUGGCAGCCUGUCUCCCCCAGCCCUGGUGGCAAGUCCGCAAGUUAGCAUCACUCUUAUCAGCUCUCCCUGAAAUGGGGUUUUCAAAUUCACCACAGCAAAAAGCCCCACACAAAUAUUUCUCGUGUUCAGCCCAGUACUCACCACCCAGGUAUGCACAGUUAAAAUGGCUGCAGGUCCGGUUUGUGCUCCGGAGGACAAAGUUGUUGUUCUCUUUUCCUAGGGAUACACUGAAUAUCUCAUGGACUGGGAUUAACACUUCUUCUUGGGAAGGACUGUAUGAGAUGUUCCAGAUCUUCACGCCAAAGCACGUGUGGAUGGUGAAGAGUGUGUCCGUGCCAAAUGUCUCAGCCUCUCGUUUAUUAACAGAUGAAGAGGCAAAGUAUCCAAACCUGAUGAGACCUGAUCCGCUGUACUGAGACUUAGUGCCCCGGUACAGCGUCAUGUUAUACGUCACAUCACACCUCCCUCGUAAGAGCUGCAAAGCUCUUGUCAAA